AGCGAACGCUGGCGGUAGGCUUAACACAUGCAAGUCGAACGGCAGCACAGUAAGAGCUUGCUCUUAUGGGUGGCGAGUGGCGGACGGGUGAGGAAUACAUCGGAAUCUACUUUUUCGUGGGGGAUAACGUAGGGAAACUUACGCUAAUACCGCAUACGCCCUACGGGUGAAAGCAGGGGAUCUUCGGACCUUGCGCGAUUGAAUGAGCCGAUGUCGGAUUAGCUAGUUGGCGGGGUAAUGGCCCACCAAGGCGGCGAUCCGUAGCUGGUCUGAGAGGAGGAUAGGCCACACUGGAGCGGGAACACGGACCAGGCGACUGCGAGAGGCAGCAGUGGGGAAUGGUAGACAGUAGGCGCGAGCCUGGCCCAGCCAGACCGCGUGGGAGAAGAAGGCCUUCGGGGUGUGAAGACCUUUUUUGGGGAAAGAAAAGCAGCAGGUUAAGACCCCGCUGGUCUGACGGUACCCAGAGAGUAAGCACCGGCUAACUUCGUG
rnacentral:rRNA from 1 species